UACGGAGGGUGCGAGCGUUGUCCGGAUUUAUUGGGUUUAAAGGGUGCGUAGGUGGCUGAUUAAGUCAGUGGUGAAAUACAGCCGCUCAACGGUUGAGGUGCCAUUGAUACUGAUCAGCUUGAAAGAAUUGGAGGCUGCCGGAAUGGAUGGUGUAGCGGUGAAAUGCAUAGAUAUCAUCCAGAACACCGAUUGCGAAGGCAGGUGGCUACGA
rnacentral:rRNA from 1 species